AGGGAAUAUCUGUGGACACAUACUACUGACUCCCUGGAAAGACCAAAGACAGGCUUUAAUGUUCCCAGAAGCCUUGACUUGUUUGGAGGGCUGCUGGUUGUUCAAUCAUCUUGCUAAUGCCACCAGGCAGCCAGCACUCUGCUCUGUUUUGGUGUCCUCCAUCCAGUUGGACCCACUAGCUGCUGAAUUCAAGGAGCCUGAUUAAUUACUACCUGCGUCAUUUGCCUGACCUUGCCACAAGACCACAGUGGCAGCAUAACAAGGAAGGUCUCUCCGUCUAGCACAGCCCCGGUUUCUCCCAGCUCACUCCUGAGAUCCUCAGGAGCUGAAUCCUUGCCCUGAAAGUUUAACAGCCUGCAACACGAGCAAGUCCUUUAUCACUCACUCUGAUUUUACCUGGAGUCCUUUCAUUAUUU